UACGAAGGGGGCUAGCGUUGCUCGGAAUUACUGGGCGUAAAGGGCGCGUAGGCGGAUAGUUUAGUCAGAGGUAAAAGCCCAGGGCUCAACCUUGGAACUGCCUUUGAUACUGGCUAUCUUGAGUUCGGGAGAGGUGAGUGGAAUGCCGAGUGUAGAGGUGAAAUUCGUAGAUAUUCGGAAGAACACCAGUGGCGAAGGCGGCUCACUGGCCCGGUACUGACGCUGAGGUGCGAAAGCGUGGGGAGCAAACAGG
rnacentral:rRNA from 1 species